GGGCCCGGUACGGGCAGAGCCACCGCCGAACCCCGCGCACCGGCCCCGGAGCCCGCUGAGCCCAGAGCCACUGCACCGCGCCCGCCUCCCGCUGACGGACCCCCGAGUCCCGCUACACCGAAAUCCAUCGCGCGGACCGCACCACACAGAGAUCCACUGCACGGAUCCGCGGACCCCACCGGGCGGACUCCACCGCGCGGACCCCCGCAUCCCACUACGCCGACAUCCACUGCACGGACCCCACUACACAGAGAUCCCCAGACCCUACUACACAGAGAUCACCAGACCCCGCCAGACGGACGGACUCCACCGCGCGGAGCCUCCAGCAGCCCCGCCUGCGAACCGCAUCGCCCCAAGCCCGGGCGCACGGUGCCCGGAGCCGCCGGUGCGGCGGGCAUGGCACCCGGGGGGAGCCGGUCCUGGGGGUCCCUGCUGCUGCUGCUGCUGCUGCUGCCGGCGGCGGGCGGCGGGUGCGCGGCGGAGGGCGGCCCGCUGGAGCCCUUCGAUGCGCUGUACGCCAGCGGGGUGGAGGCGUACUACGGCGGGGACUUCGCGGGCGCGGCGCGGUGCCUGGAGCGGGCGCUGCGCAGCCGGCGGGAGCUGCGGGCGGCGCGGGUGCGGUGCCGGCGGUCGUGCCGCGGGCAGGUGCGGCUGGAAGCGCCGGGCCCGGGGGCCGGCGGGGACCUGCCCUUCUUCGGCUCGGUGCUGCGGCGGGCAGACUGCGUGCGGCGCUGCGAGGAGCCGCGGCUCGGAGCCGCCUCCCGACACCGCGCCGCCGAGGAGGUGCGCGCCGACUUCCAGCGCAGGGUGCCCUACAGCUACCUGCAGCGCGCCUACAUCCAGCUGAACAAGCUGGAGGAGGCAGCAAAUGCAGCUCACACCUUCUUCAUGGCAAACCCCGAGCACAUGGAGAUACAACAGGACAUCGAGAACUACAAGACCACGGCAGGAAAGGUCAGCUUGGUUGACCGGGAGGCCAGGCAGCACAUGGAGGACUACAGUGCUGGAGUGAGGCACUACGACAGGGAGGAGUACGAGCUGGCCAUUGAGUUUCUGGAGCGCGCGUUGAAAGGGUACUACACCGAGGAUGAAGAUUGCCAGAUCAUGUGCGAGAGGCCACAGAGAUUUGAGGAGCACGAGUACCUGGAUUAUAAGGGUGGUCUCUACGAAGCUAUUGCAGAUCACUACAUGCAAGUCCUGGCCUGCAAGCACGACUGUGUCCGAGAACUUGCCACGCGUUCGGGCCGGAUCUCACCCAUCGAAAAUUUCCUACCCCUCCAUUACGACUACUUGCAGUUUGCCUAUUACAGAGUUGGUGACUAUGUAAAAGCCCUGGAGUGUGCCAAAUCCUACCUGCUCUUCCACCCUGAUGAUGAAGAUGUCUUGGAGAACGCAGGUUAUUAUGAGGGUCUCUUGGAGGGUGCAAUGGAUCCAGACACCAUCAAACCCAGAAAGGAAGCAAAAACACUCCUGCAGCGCCAUAAGCUGGAGUCACACCUCUUGCAGGUGGCUGCGGCCGGCCUUGGAUACGCCUACACAGAGCCGAACUACUGGAACAGGUAUGGAGCCCGCCAGGAUGAGCACAGUGUCCCAUCAAGUAUCAGCAGUGAACCAGAGGAUGGGCCUCGGCUGUCCCUGGCAAAGAAACCCAUGCCAAAGCCAGAUCGAGAGUUGAAGGAGGGGGGCCCACUUCUCUACAACGAUGUGAAGUUUGUCUACAACUCACAGCAGCUGAAUGGCACCCAGCGAGUGCUCCUGGACAAUGUCAUCUCGGAGGAGCAGUGCCGGGAGCUGCACAGGGUGGCCAGUGGGAUCAUGUUGGCUGGAGAUGGUUACAGGGGCAAAACCUCCCCCCACACCCCAAAUGAGAGAUUUGAAGGAGCCACCGUACUCAAAGCCCUCAAGUAUGGCUACGAGGGCCGCGUCCCGCUGAAGAGUGCCCGGCUCUUCUACGACAUCAGCGAGAAGGCUCGCAGGAUCGUCGAGUCCUACUUCAUGCUGAACUCCACGCUCUACUUCUCCUACACACACCUGGUGUGCCGCACUGCCCUCUCCGUUCUCCAUUUCGCUUCCCUGCAUAAGGAACAAGCAGAGCUGCGCAGAUCUGAGUCCUCAGAUGUUACCUUUUCUCCCCAGCCUUUGCUUUUCUCCUCUCAUCUGUGAACACCACCCGGAGUGGGGAUGGGGCAGGCUCCCACUCCAUGAUAGGACCUCACAGAGCAUGGCAUUUCCAUCUCAUCCACCCUUUCCCCUUCCCCCUUCCUCCACAUGGUCCUGCCUAGGCCAGCAGGAGAGGAGGAAUGACCUGAGUCACCCCAUCCAUGCUGACAACUGCCUUUUGGACCCUGAAGCCAAUGAGUGCUGGAAGGAGCCUCCUGCCUACACCUUUCGGGAUUACAGUGCCCUCUUGUACAUGAACGCAGAUUUUGAAGGCGGCGAGUUCAUCUUCACCGAGAUGGAUGCCAAAACCGUGACGGCCUCCAUCAAGCCCAAGUGCGGGCGAAUGAUCAGCUUCUCUUCGGGCGGCGAGAACCCCCACGGGGUGAAGGCAGUCACCAAAGGCCAGAGAUGCGCUGUGGCUCUCUGGUUCACCUUGGACCCUCUCUACAGAGAGCUGGAGCGAAUCCAGGCAGACGAAGUGAUCGCGAUGUUGGACCAGGAGCAUCUAGGACCCAGUGAAAUGAACAUAAACCCAAAGGAUGAGCUAUGAACUAGACCAAAGACUUUUUCUAUUAAAUAUUUAUUUAAUAUUGUUAAUCUUAUUAGAACCCUUCUAUUUUUGUACAGAGACACUGUAUAAAUUAACAGGUUAAUAUGA